UACGAAGGGGGCUAGCGUUGCUCGGAAUUACUGGGCGUAAAGCGCACGUAGGCGGCUUUCUAAGUCGGGGGUGAAAUCCUGGAGCUCAACUCCAGAACUGCCUUCGAUACUGGAGAGCUUGAGUCCGGGAGAGGUGAGUGGAACUGCGAGUGUAGAGGUGAAAUUCGUAGAAUAUUCGCAAGAACACCAGUGGCGAAAGGCGGCUCACUGGCCCGGGUACU
rnacentral:rRNA from 1 species